rnacentral:rRNA from 1 species
AUGGCGGCGUCUCUCCGAGCGUCCUCCUCCCCCCUCCGCUCGCGCCUCCUCUCCUCCCCCGCCGCCUGGUCUCCCUGGCGCCUGCUCCUCUCCUCCUCCGUCCACUCGGACGCCGCCCACCAGACCGAAACCCUCGCCUUCCACGAGAUCCAGCUCUCCCCUGAGAAGCCCCCCACCGCCACCGCCUUCGUCCUCCACGGCCUCCUGGGCUCCGGCCGCAACUGGCGCACCUUCUCCCGCACCCUCGCCUCCCAGCUCCGUGACCGCUCCCCCGCCGACGAGUGGAAGAUGGUUCUUGUGGAUUUGAGGAACCAUGGGAGCUCAGCCAGGAUCAAAGGGCUGAGCCCGCCCCAUGAUAUGUCGAGUGCCGCCAAGGAUCUUGCUGAUUUGGUGAAGGCUCGGGGCUGGACAUGGCCGGAUGUUGUCGUGGGUCACUCAAUGGGUGGAAAGGUCGCACUGGAUUUCACAGAGAGUUGCUCCCGUGGCGAUUACGGAGAAUCUGCUGCUCUUCCCAAACAGCUCUGGGUGCUUGAUUCUGUCCCUGGAGAAGUAAAAAUAGAUAACAGUGAUGGCGAAGUUGAACGGGUUUUGGAAACACUAGCAAGUCUUCCUUCAUCGCUUCCAUCGCGCAAGUGGGUUGUGGACCACAUGGUCAGCCUGGGAUUCUCCAAGUCACUUUCAGACUGGAUUGGCAGCAACUUGAAGAAGGACAAUGAACAUGUGACCUGGGCUUUUGAUCUUCAGGCUGCCACAGACAUGUUUAAUUCUUACAGAGAUAGAAGCUACUGGGGACUGCUGGAGAACCCACCAAAGGGUUUGGAGAUCUCGAUAGUACAGGCAGAGCUCAGUGAUAGAUGGCACCCUGAGGAUGUCCAGAGGCUAAAAGCACUGUCAAGGAGAGGCAGCAAACCUGACGCGGGCAAAGUGUCGCUCCACGUUCUCCCUAACUCCGGCCAUUGGGUUCAUGUGGACAACCCCAAGGGGCUGCUCGAGAUCAUGGCGCCUAACUUCCUCUCCACUGUUCAAAAUUGA